UUCAAAGUAGUAAAUAAUAUUACAUUAAGCUGUAAACUUAAAGUUAGGAAAACCUCUUUGAAA
rnacentral:tRNA from 1 species